rnacentral:rRNA from 1 species
CCUACGGGAGGCUGCAGUGAGGAAUAUUGGUCAAUGGACGAGAGUCUGAACCAGCCAAGUAGCGUGAAGGAUGACUGCCCUAUGGGUUGUAAACUUCUUUUAUAUGGGAAUAAAAUGUUCCACGUGUGGGAUUUUGUAUGUACCAUAUGAAUAAGGAUCGGCUAACUCCGUGCCAGCAGCCGCGGUAAUACGGAGGAUCCGAGCGUUAUCCGGAUUUAUUGGGUUUAAAGGGAGCGUAGGUGGAUUGUUAAGUCAGUUGUGAAAGGUUGCGGUUCAACCGUAAAAUUGCAGUUGAAACUGGCAGUCUUGAGUACAGUAGAGGUGGGCGGAAUUCGUGGUGUAGCGGUGAAAUGCUUAGAUAUCACGAAGAACUCCGAUUGCGAAGGCAGCUCACUGGACUGCAACUGACACUGAGGCUCGAAAGUGUGGGUAUCAAACAGGAUUAGAUACCCCGGUAGUC